rnacentral:rRNA from 1 species
UACAGAGGGGGCAAGCGUUGUUCGGAAUUACUGGGCGUAAAGGGCGCGUAGGCGGUCAGCACAAGUCAGUUGUGAAAUCUCCGGGCUUAACUCGGAAAGGUCAACUGAUACUGUGCGACUAGAGUGCGGAAGGGGCAACUGGAAUUCUUGGUGUAGCGGUGAAAUGCGUAGAUAUCAAGAGGAACACCUGCGGCGAAGGCGGGUUGCUGGGCCGACACUGACGCUGAGGCGCGAAAGCCAGGGGAGCGAACGGG